rnacentral:rRNA from 1 species
GGGGCGUAGCAGCGCUGGCGGAAAUACUGAUGUGAAAGCCCUCCGAGGAACUGCAUCGGAAACUGUUUUUCUUGAGUGCAGAAGAGGAGAGUGGAAUUCCAUGUGUAGCGGUGGAAUGCGUAGAUAUAUGGAAGAACACCAGUGGCGAAGGCGACUCUCUGGUCUGCAACUGACGCUGAGGCUCGAAAGCAUGGGUAGCGAACAGGAUUAGAUACCCUGGUAGUCCAUGCCGUAAACGAUGAGUGCUAAGUGUUGGGAGGUUUCCGCCUCUCAGUGCUGCAGCUAACGCAUUAAGCACUCCGCCUGGGGAGUACGACCGCAAGGUUGAAACUCAAAGGAAUUGACGGGGGCCCGCACAAGCGGUGGAGCAUGUGGUUUAAUUCGAAGCAACGCGAAGAACCUUACCAGGUCUUGACAUCUAGUGCCAUCCUAAGAGAUUAGGAGUUCCCUUCGGGGACGCUAAGACAGGUGGUGCAUGGCUGUCGUCAGCUCGUGUCGUGAGAUGUUGGGUUAAGUCCCGCAACGAGCGCAACCCUUGUUAUUAGUUGCCAGCAUUAAGUUGGGCACUCUAAUGAGACUGCCGGUGAUAAACCGGAGGAAGGUGGGGAUGACGUCAAGUCAUCAUGCCCCUUAUGACCUGGGCUACACACGUGCUACAAUGGACAGUACAACGAGAAGCGAGCCUGCGAAGGCAAGCGAAUCUCUGAAAGCUGUUCUCAGUUCGGACUGCAGUCUGCAACUCGACUGCACGAAGCUGGAAUCGCUAGUAUCGCGGAUCAGAACGCCGCGGUGAAUACGUUCCCGGGCCUUGUACACACCGCCCGUCACACCAUGGAAGUCUGCAAUGCCCAAAGCCGGUGGCCUACCUUCGGAAGGAGCCGUCUAGGGCAGAUGACUGGGGUGAAGUCGUAACAGGAACCGUAAA